AACGAACGCUGGCGGCAGGCUUAACACAUGCAAGUCGAACGCUCGGAGCGAUCCGGGAGUGGCGGACGGGUGAGUAACGCGUGGGAACGUGCCCUGAGGUUGGGAAUAACUGCGGGAAACUGCAGCUAAUACCUGAUGAGCCCGAGCAAUCGGGGAAAGAUUUAUCGCCUUGGGAGCGGCCCGCGUCGGAUUAGCUAGUUGGUGGGGUAACGGCCUACCAAGGCUUCGAUCCGUAGCUGGUCUGAGAGGACGAUCAGCCACACUGGGACUGAGACACGGCCCAGACUCCUACGGGAGGCAGCAGUGGGGAAUCUUGCGCAAUGGGGGCAACCCUGACGCAGCCAUGCCGCGUGAAUGAUGAAGGCCUUAGGGUUGUAAAGUUCUUUUGCCCGUGACGAUGAUGACGGUAACGGGAGAAUAAGCUCCGGCUAACUUCGUG
rnacentral:rRNA from 2 species